UACGGAGGGGGCUAGCGUUGUUCGGAAUUACUGGGCGUAAAGCGCGUGUAGGCGGUUCGGUAAGUCCGCUGUGAAAGUCGGGGGGCUCAACCCUCGGAUGCCGGUGGAUACUGUCGAGCUUGAGUACGGAAGAGGCGAGUGGAAUUCCUGGUGUAGCGGUGAAAUGCGCAGAUAUCAGGAGGAACACCGGUGGCGAAGGCGGGUCUCUGGGCCGUUACUGACGCUGAGGAGCGAAAGCGUGGGGAGCGAACAGG
rnacentral:rRNA from 1 species